ACUCAUAUUGAGCGUCUGUGUCUUCCUUCCGUCGGCAACACCACCUUGCAAGAAAAAAAGAGGAAGAGGGAUUAGUUGACUGACCACUAGUGCCAUUCCUGCAGUGCUGCCUUGCAACUCCCAGGUUCUGAGAAGCAUCCCCGUCUUCAUAGUCUUGCAGGUUAGCAGGAGCAGAGGGCAGCUGGCAUCACCAUCAUCCCGAAAGGAAAACUUCUCCCUUUCCCCAUAAUACCUCUUUGGGAGAAAGCCGUUAUCCAGUAGGAGGGUAUCAUAUCUGGCUGCACAUUAAUUUCCCCAAAAAUGAGCUUUUAAGUGGAUUUAAAAACUUCUAACAGCUACAGCAAAACAUCUUAUGGAAAACAUCUUGCCAUCAGUUUCUAGAAAAAAUGGAGAAUCAAACCACCUCUGUUACCUGUAAAAUGACGGAUAUUGAUGAGGAUGGAACAUAUAAAGCUAUAUAAUUCAGAAUAAGGAGGAAUGACCAGCUCUGCAAUAAAGGGGAUUCAGAUGGGACAUGAGGAAAAGCUUGCUUAAAGUAGGUUUCAACCAGCUGAAUAUUCAGGAAGAAAAGAUUUCACAGCUUAAAGCAGCUCAAUAGAUUGGGCCACCAGUGCAAUUUAUGACACUUGUUCUAGGUCUUUUGUUUAAAGAGAAAGACUACUGCUACAAACCUAAGGAGAUGACAGAAAUUGUAAGAACUCCUGAAAUCAUGUACUUGUUCUUCAAAGUGUUUUUUGUUUGUUUGUUUGUUUAUUUGUUUUUGUAUAUAUGUAUUUGCCAUGUUAUUGCAUUUUUUGUUAAGUUUUUAGAAUGGACCCUGGAACAUCUUUGGCCGUGGACUCAAAAAGAUAAUUUCCCUAAUCAAUACCCAGUUACAGCAUGGGAGGUUUCAGGGGCUGAGGACUUGAAAAUCUUGGUUGUGUCCACAGUUCUAGAAGGUUAACAAUUUAAAAGUAAAAAUGUAGCUAGGCUAUAGCAGUUCAACUGGAGCAGAAAAUGGGUGUAAACAAUGCAAGGAUAGGUGCAAUCAUGACUAAAACAACAUUUUUUUUUUCUAUAUGCUAACUUUGUGAUAUCUGGAAAUAAAAUCUUGAUGUUGUAAUUAAAA